rnacentral:rRNA from 1 species
UACGUAGGGGGCAAGCGUUGUCCGGAAUUAUUGGGCGUAAAGAGCGUGUAGGCGGUCCGGUAAGUCGGCUGUGAAAGUCCAGGGCUCAACCCUGGGAUGCCGGUCGAUACUGCCGGACUAGAGUUCGGAAGAGGCGAGUGGAAUUCCCGGUGUAGCGGUGAAAUGCGCAGAUAUCAGGAGGAAUACCCAUAGCGAAGGCAGCUCGCUGGGACGUUACUGACGCUGAGGCGCGAAAGCGUGGAGAGCGAACAGG